rnacentral:rRNA from 3 species
CAAAAUUACUCGCCAGAGCACUACAAGCAAUAGCUUAAAACUCAAAGGACUUGGCGGUGCUUUAUAUCCCUCUAGAGGAGCCUGUUCUAUAAUCGAUAAACCCCGAUAAACCUCACCACUCCUUGCUAAUUCAACCUAUAUACCGCCAUCCUCAGCAAACCUUGUUAAGGCCUAAAAGUAAGCAAAAACACAGACAUAAAAACGUUAGGUCAAGGUGUAGUCUAUGGAG